rnacentral:rRNA from 1 species
AACGAACGCUGGCGGCAUGCCUAACACAUGCAAGUCGAACGAGACCUUCGGGUCUAGUGGCGCACGGGUGCGUAACGCGUGGGAACCUGCCCUUAGGUUCGGAAUAACUCCCCGAAAGGGGUGCUAAUACCGGUUAAUGUCUUCGGACCAAAGAUUUAUCGCCUUUGGUUGGGCCCGCGUUGGAUUAGAUAGUUGGUAGGGUAAAAGCCUACCAAGGCGACGAUCCAUAGCUGGUCAGAGAGGAUGAUCAGCCACACUGGGACUGAGACACGGCCCAGACUACUACGGGAGGCAGCAGUGGGGAAUAUUGGACAAUGGGCGAAAGCCUGAUCAAGCAAUGCCGCGUGAGUGAUGAAGGCCUUAGGGUUGUAAAGCUCUUUUACCCGGGAUGAUAAUGACAGUACCGGGAGAAUAAGCUCCGGCUAACUCCGUG